CCCUGCCCUGCGGGCCCCCGGGGCCGGGGCGCGGGAGCCGUGCUGUCGGGGCGGAUGCGCUCCAGCGCCUCACUUCCCAGGCAGAGAAGAGCAUUUAGAUGCCUCCAUGCCCCAGCGCCCCGCAGGCAGAGCCAGUCACCUGGAGGUCAACCCUGCAGUGGGGAGCCCCUCUGUCCAUCGUGGCCACCUCCCACGCCAUCCAGGACCUGCGUGAAAGAGACGAGCCAAUAAAGCCCAAGCACAGAGUUACCUGUUUAGGAUGAUCUUUUGCCAGAGAAAUCCCUUGGGGUGUGCGGCACAGACUGAUUUUACAAGGUUCAGAUGGAAACCAGGAGGCCCUAGGAGCCGCCACUAGUUGGCAGGUGUUUCAUCAGUUCCGUUGCCCUACUGGCCCUUUACCUGCUCUGCUUCUUGGACUUCAGUACUCCCUGGACAUCUGUGCUCCAGACCUGUGGGUCUCAUGCUGCUCCUGGCCCCUCUGACUGUGCCCAGCCCCUGACCCCUCUCCAGAGCCUCAUCCUCCCCUGGUGUGCUCCUGUUCACCUGGCCACUGGGUGGCUGCACUUUGGGCGGGACUUCUGCAGAGUGUAGCCAUAGAUAUUCUGUGUCUGGCUACGUGCACUCUGUUGUUGUGGAGUCAGAAUGGUGACAGAAGCAGCAAAAUGUUAAUAUUGUAUUUAUUAUUCUCCUAGCCUGGCCCUCCCACCUUGGCUGGAAUUAAGGUGAGAAACUGAAAUGCAACCAUUUUCUUCCUGACCAAAUCUUUCUAAAGGGGCCACUGCAUUGGUGAAACUGAAGGCACCAGCCACGUCUUUGGGAUGUCUUAGGGUGGUGCUGGAGGGCUGGGGGGCUGGAGGGCU